AUUUAACUUUUUUUCCUAUAAAAUCCCCUCCAACAUUGGCAAAGAGCAGACUCCAUCCACAAACCCAGUUUCUGCACGAAUCCCAGAUGGGUUUGUAAAGUACCGAUUCGUCAAAUCUAUUUUUGAUAUAAACGGGUGAGUGGUUUCCUUGCUAGGCUUGUCAAGUGAGCAGCCUUCUGCUGUUAGCCUUUGUUUCGUUGUCUGUUCGACCUUGAACUCGUGGUUGAUAUCGAAAACCCUAGUUAAUAUGAACUGAUUUUCUCAGUGUUCGAUCUCAUAUGAUAUUAAUACGGAUACCAUAAUUAGUAAUACAACUUCUUCUCCUUCUUCUUCUUCUUCUUCUUUUUGUUUUUUUGGCUUGUCAGUUCAACUGACAAACCAGAAACGGCAAAAGGCCGCCCCAAAUUUGAACACAAUCAAAACACAAGUAGAGUAUGAUUGAUAUCGACUACAUACGAUCAACUUUGGGCACAAGUAGACCAUGAUCGGUUUCAAGCACGAUCGAUCAACUUCGGCUAUAUAAAUAUAUAUAUAUGUGUGUAUAUAAGUUGACUAUACGAUUAGCAUCGAAGGUGAUUAACUAGGUGCAACAAAAAGUACAAAUACUCUUAAGUCCAAAAGAUCUGAUUGUAAAUAUUGCUUAUAGGGACAAACAAACCUGUUAUGGAGGUUCAAAAUCAUUUCCUUUUCCAAAAUCGCUAUUAAACAAGAUGGCUGGAUGAAAUUUGCAUUGCACGUAAGAAACAUGUGUGUGUGUGUGUGUGUAUAACACUAUAAACUGGUCUAUAGUAAUAUGUUGAAGCUUUAGGUUUGGGGUAUAAACAUGGAGGAGAUUAUCAAUAAAACUCCCAAGUCCCUUUAGGAUAAUAAGGAGGCCAUCUUGUAAUGAAACCAUUCUUCAAAUGGAUAGCAAACAUCUUUCUAUAUUUUCUGUAAAAACCCAAAAAGAUGAUAUGGAAAGAGAUUAAAAAACCUUGCCAUGAUUAAUUAGGGGUUCAGGAUUAUUAUCCAUCCAUAAAUAGCCUGUUUGAAGAGAGAAAAGAAGUGUUGGUAGUUCUGAAGAAGCUUUGGUGAAUAGGUAGAAAGUUGACUCGUAGAUCUACUCUUCCCGUGUCCUGUGUAUUUCUCUUAAUCUAGCUACCAGAAGAUACAAUUGUCCUUGGAGAACGUUGAGCUUUGAGAUAGAAGAUACAUGCAGAUGAAAAGACCAUUUAUUAAUUGUGUGGCUGAGGCGAACCCACACAGGUGCAAUCUUAGGGCUUACAUAAGGGCAUUGUUUUCCUCUCGAAAUCCUAAAUAGUAAUAAAUAUAAAUACUACAUUUUAAGAGCGAAAAAAACAAGUACUAAUUUACAUGGCACAAGCUAAUUGCAUUAGUCCCUCUUGACAUAUAUAUGAUGGCUUCGUUCUCGUACCAGUCCUUGCCAGAUUCAUCCAAUUCAUAUUGAUUUGUUGCUAUAUAGACCCCUUGGGAUUGUUUUUGUUUGUUUCCCGUCGCUGUAAGUCUUUCUUUUGCUGCUCUAGGCCUUUUCUUUUGCCUUGCCUGCUCUCGCUUUGUUUCGUCUUUGUUUUUAGGCGUCGGUCUUAAUAUUUAUAUUUAGCAAAUGUAAUAAUAAUAAAAAUAAAAAUACUAAAUAAAAAUAAAUUUUAAAAGACUAUAAUUAGAACGAGUUGGCCUCUACUUUUAUACUUAUUGAGAACCAUAAACUUCAUUAUAAUUGUUUAUAAUUUGUGGGACCGAAAUAAAUAUUACUACAUAUAUAUAUUUUCCUAUUAAAAUAUCUGAAAUCUCUUAGCACGAGUUAAUAUUGUAGAAUUCUGGAUCUACCAGCAGCCUGACACAAACAGGUGAGGGAGCCCAACAUAUUUGUAACAUUUUUUAAUUGCUUUGAGAAUAAAUAAAGUUAAUAAAGCAAACAUGAAUGCAAUUAGUAGGGAAUCUAAUUAUGGUAGUGGAAAGCAUUCCAGUUUGGGUAACAUUUUGAAGUUCUUGUGGCUCCAACUACAGCCUGUGGUUUCCAUAUUCUGGAGAAUGUUCAAUUAUAUAUUUUUGUAGUUUGUAUUAAGUUAAUGUUUGAAAACAUCGAUCAUAUGCAGUCAUACACCACGUCCAGAAAAUAAUCAUGGUGUUUACUUUUAUUGGCAACGUACAAGAAAGGGAUCAGUGUAAAAGAGAAUUAAUUUGUAUGGAUUACAAUUCAAGUACUAGCUAGGUUUCCUAAGAAAACGACAUGCAAUACAGGAAAUUUUUGGACCACCCUGUUGGCUGCAUAAAUUUUGGGUAAUAAUAUAGAAACAUAAUAAAAGUAAUGUAACUUUAUGUUCCUAUUUCUAAUAUUUAUUUACUGGACGUAAAUGCUUAUAUUUACACAAACACAAAUGUUUUCAUCAUUUUUGUUAUAUUUUAAUAUGUAAGAACACAAAUAUAAGAAUCCUUUUAAGGUCGAAGCGACAGCGAAAGUGAGGUGGAACAAGCAAGGACUGCUCAUUUGACGAGGCUUUGCAUGGAAAUCAACACCUUCUGCUUGUUGGAUUCGACUCAAGACUCGGAAAGAGACGAGACGGGGACGCCAAAACAAGGAAACAGCUAGCCAAACUGUAUUGCAGAUUAACUACAACAUUUCGGUUGCAGCUGAUGGGUCAUCUGCCUUAAUUUAUGGAAACCAGUCAAUCUGUCACUCUAUGCAUACCCAGAUUAGGUGAAAGUAGGAUCGAGGGUCAGUUCAAUUAAUUUCAGUAGCAUGUGUAUCUUGCUUAGUUUGGAAAAUCCUUUUCUUUUCUUUUCUUUUUUUACUGUUAGAAGUCCCUUCUAAUUCAAGAUUCUCAAUCAUUCUAAGUAGGUCUAGCAUAUAUUCUUUUGUAUCUAUGGUAGUCAUUCAAAUAUCAAAUGUUUCAAAAAACCUUUAUGUUGAUAACAAAUUUUAAUCCAAAUUAAUUAUACGUUUUCUUCCUUUCUAUGAAAAUUUCAUGAUUUUGUUUUUAGUUAGCUAGUACUUAUGGUUUUUCUUUUGGCUGGAUAAGGACAUAUAUUUGUGAGCAGUCCAUCUUUCUUAAUAAAUAAAAUCUUUCACCUUCAAUUUAUUAAUGAUGGGACAAAAUUGUUUCGAGCUUUUAACUUCAAGGGUAUCAACUGCAAUUUCUGAACGCGAAUAGUUUCAACCUUUAAGAGCAUUGACCGUAAUUUAAAUCUGAAAAAUCUCUGCGAGUGGUCCCUCUUGCCUUAAUUCUAAAGUGGUCACCGGUCAGUAUAUUUUACCUGUCAUUUUAAUAUAAUCAUUUUUUAAUGAAUGAAAAUAUUCUUUUAUUGCUUAAAGACAGGUUAAUUUGAAAUUAAUUCUCUAGAAAUAGUUUAUGGAACGAUUUUAUCAAAUAUGUUAUUUUGAUUAUAUUAUUAUGGUGAGGUGUAAUAUUUAGCUUUGGGAGUUAAUUUAUAUUAUCAUGAUUUUUUAUUAAUAUGAGAAAUAAUAUUUUCAUUUAUAUUUACAAGUAAUUAGCAUCUUGAUGUGUGAUGUUUAUUUUAAUUAUUUGAGAAAAAAAUAUUGGAUUUUUCAUUGAAAAAUAGUAAAAGAGAAUAAUUUCAGCAAAAUUUCAAAAUUUUAUAAUCUUUUGUUAAGAUUAUAAUUUUUGUUUCUGUUGAUGAAACACAACAAAUUUAUUUAUUUAUCUAGAAUUAUCCCUCUCUCCUUCAUCUUCAGAUUUUGUAUUUUUUUUAUUGCACCCACAAUUUUAUCAAUUGUUGAAGAAUUCUAGAACCUAUCUUGUUUCUUCUAACUACAAAUAGGGCUAGAAAUAUAGUAAAU